rnacentral:rRNA from 1 species
UACGUCGGCAGCAAGCGUUGUUCGGAAUUACUGGGCGUAAAGAGUGUGUAGGCGGUGCUCCAAGUCUGGUGUGAAAUCUCCCGGCUUAACUGGGAGGGUGCAUUAGAAACUGGAAUGCUAGAGGAUGGGAGAGGUAAGCGGAAUUCCUGGUGUAGCGGUGAAAUGCGUAGAUAUCAGGAGGAACACCUGUGGUGUAGACAGCUUACUGGACCAUUUCUGACGCUGAGACACGAAAGCGUGGGUAGCAAACAGG